AUUUGAACAGUCAGCUGCUCUAUCCAUGUCAAUCCCCAAAGUUCCGGGUCAAAUUCCUGAUGUUGGUUCUUUCCGACCCGAAAUGAAUAGGUCCGACCACCAGGAACUCGCCGCUGAUACGCUCUCUGAUCCUCUCCUUCGAAACGGCUCCUUUAUCAACGCUAAAAACAACUUCUCCACCAGCGGGCACACCACAAACAAACCAAACAGAGAUAGUCACCAAGCGGCUCCGCAGUCGUCUGGUUCAGCGAAUCCCGUGGAGACGGAGACGCAGACACCGACACCGACGCUGCCUAAAUCGAGGAGAAAAGCACCGGUGCUGUCGUCGGAAUCGGCGAUUGGGUUGCCGCCGGGAUGGUUAGUUGAAGAUCGGGUUAGGACCUCCGGUGCAACGGCUGGCAUGGUAGAUAAGUAUUACAUUGAGCCUGUAUCAGGUCGUCGAUUUAGGUCCAAGAAAGAGGUGCAGCAUUAUCUGGAAACAGGAACCUUGAAAAAGAACAAAAGAGUAACAGAGAAUUCUGAAGAUGACGUUAAUCAUCCAGAGGGUUCCAGGAGUCGCAACAAGAAGGCUACGAAGAAUGCAAAGCGUCCUGAAAUGAAGUUUGAUUAUUUGAAUGUGCCUGAUAGGAUCGAAUGGGUUCUUGAGGAUGCAAAUGAAGAUGCUUGGACUCCCUUCAUUGGAGGCAAAAAGGUUACUGAAUAUGAUAAGCAAAAUUGGGAGUUCGAGAUGCUUCAUUUGCACCACUAACUGCUAGAAGCAGUGGCGAAACAAUGUUUCGAAGCCUUUCAGAAUUCUGCCCCCGAUUCAUCAAAUGGUAGUCUCACACAGGCCAAU
rnacentral:misc_RNA from 1 species